GACGAACGCUGGCGGCGUGCUUAACACAUGCAAGUCGAACGGAAAGGCCCUGCUUUUGUGGGGUGCUCGAGUGGCGAACGGGUGAGUAACACGUGAGUAACCUGCCCUUGACUUUGGGAUAACUUCAGGAAACUGGGGCUAAUACCGGAUAGGAGCUCCUGCUGCAUGUGGGUGGUUGGAAAGUUUCGGCGGUUGGGGAUGGACUCGCGGCUUAUCAGCUUGUUGGUGGGGUAGUGGCUUACCAAGGCUUUGACGGGUAGCCGGCCUGAGAGGGUGACCGGCCACAUUGGGACUGAGAUACGGCCCAGACUCCUACGGGAGGCAGCAGUGGGGAAUAUUGCACAAUGGGCGGAAGCCUGAUGCAGCAACGCCGCGUGCGGGAUGACGGCCUUCGGGUUGUAAACCGCUUUCGCCUGUGACGAAGCGUGAGUGACGGUAAUGGGUAAAGAAGCACCGGCUAACUACGUG
rnacentral:rRNA from 1 species